GCGUUCUUGGUGUAGUGGUAUCAUGCUCGCUUUGGGUCUCCAAAACUUUGUGAGUGGUCCUCGGUUCAAUCCCGGGAGAGCGCC